CAGAUCGACUGGAGGGAGAUUUACUGGCAACCCUGGAGUCACUCUGUCUGUCACAGAUCUGCAGGUGCAGGUGACUCCGUAUUCAGUUGUAUCAGCGUGGAAGACACUGACUUGCACCACCUGUGUUCUGACUGGUGACCCCACCUACAUCUGGUACAAGAACGGACAGAUAGUAACUGACAGCACUUCUCCCUAUUCAGUCUACCCUGAUGCUGCAGACAGCUACUCCUGUGCUGUAAAAGUCAAUGAGGAUCUCCACUCUCCUGCAGUGUGUGUUCAGGAUCAGAGCUGCAACAGAGUGACUUACAUCGACAAGAGUAUCUGUGCCUUGAAGGGGUCAUCAGUGGACAUAUCCUGUACUUACUCCAGUUAUCAUCCGAUCAAAACAACAUUCUGGUUUAGAAAUGAUAAGUCGGCCCCUGAGGACCUAACCAGAGACCCAGAGUAUGCAGGCCGGGCCCUGGAUAGCCUUCCCUCCACCCUGAGAAUCACAGAUCUGAGAGAGAGCGACUCAGCUGAGUAUAAAUUCAGAUUCAACACACAGAUCUCAGGAUGGGGGUACAGCUUCCCUGGAACAACUCUGUCUGUCACAGACCUGCAGGUGACUCUGCUGCAGAGGCGAGACACUGACC